AACCUGGAGUUACUUUACUACAUAUUCCACAGAGCUGAUUGUCCAGACGGAUGGGUAUACCACAAACCAACGAAUAAAUGUUUCUAUCUUUUCGGUCAACUGAAGACGAACAUUGCUGCUAAAAACGCUUGUUUGGGUCUGAGCGGCAGGUUGUUUAAUAUCUACUCGGCAGCACAGAAUGGCCUAGUGUACACUAUGGUCAAACGAAGAGGGAAAGACAUUUGGAUCGGAAUCACCGCUGGUGGCGAUGUCUUGAAAUGGCACGAAGGGCAGGCGCCAGUCUUCUUCUACUGG